UUUGCCCCUUGAGGCAGUGCAGCUCAGCUGUCGGUGUUACAGCUGCGUCAAAAAGUGACAGAGUGAAGGCCGAGUCAACGCAACUAAACAUUGAUGAUUCGUCUUUCAAA